ensembl:misc_RNA predicted gene, 27747
AUUGUGUUCCAAUGCAUUAUGCCAGCAUUCAGUCAAAGAAACUUAGGUUGUUUUCCAGAAUUGGUUCUCUUCUAAAGGUUAAAAU